UGUAAAGGUCCAGAUUUUGACGGUCAACCUAUGUCAAGAUUUUUACAGCUUCUUUCUCUCAGGCUGGGCCAGAUGCCAGUGUCACACUUUGGUGUUUGUUAUGUGGAAAGUACUAAUUUAGUCUGAGGCAACAACACAGGUGGUGGGAUUCUUUUGCACUGUGAGUUGAGAUAUACAUACCAGCUUUCCAAAACAUUUGACCUGGUUAAGAUAUUUUGAACGGUAUGUGCACUACAGAGCUUUGAACUUCGUGCUUGAGGACGGACAAACAGACACAUUUCCAAGAUAGGGGUACCCCAAGUUAAAUUCCUCCUACUCAAAAGUUUUUGCAUGUAUCAAGCUGUAACUUUAUGUGUGAGGUUUAGAGGUA